GGAAAUGGAACUUACCAAAUAGUUUGGUCAGAAACAAAUUAAGUAUGUGAGAGUAUGUACCAUCAAUAUAGUCGCCAAUGUGGCUUUCAAUUUUUCUUCUUCUCUGUUUUCAAGGUCUUGCGAGAUGUGGAAAGAGUCGCAGACUAAGGUGGCUGAAUUACCUAAGGCCAAACCUCAAAAGAGGAAACUACACCAAGGAAGAGGAGGAAACUAUUAUCAAGCUGCACCGACAUCUGGGUAAUAGAGAAUCACUCAGGGACAGAACAAAGUGCUAAUUACUGAUAGAAUGUGGG